GCCAACGUAGCUUAAAUAAAGCAUAACCUUGAAGACGUUAAGAUAAGUUUUUAAAUAAACUUCGUAAGCA